GGUCUAGGCUAGGUGGCGUCCCUUUUAUUUGGUUCAAGAGGCUUUGGGUUAGGUUUUCUAAUAUGAUUAGAAGAAGGGAUCCUAAUUUGAUUAGGACUCCAUUAUGUUGUCUAUUUAAAGGACCCUAGUCCUACCUCUCUUGCAAUCUUAAUGUUUUCCUUCUUUGCCGCCUCCUUUCACUGUGCCCACGUCUCCCUUACUCUUCCUCUCUCUAGCCCACGUCCUCUUUCCUCCCUCUUGGCGUCCUCUCUCUGGGAUCCAAGAAGAAGAGGGCAGUAUCUUUGUUCUUUGACACCAUCCUCCCAAGGUUGUUGGGAGGUAGUUACAACCACUUCUUGAUUGUUGUUCUUCUUAGUUAGUUGAGGGAUCAAGAAGAGUUCUUGGUUUCUUCAAGAAUCAAGAAAGAAAGAUCAAGAAAGGGUUGAUUUCAAUCAAGAAUUGAGAAAAGAGGAUCAAGGGUUAUCAUUAUCUAAGCUUGGUUCAAGCCUAUUUAGGCUUUGAGUUUAAGUGAGUUGUAUCAAGAGGAGCCUAUCCAAGUCGGUCCUGUCGAUAUCCAUGGAGACAGGAUAUUUGUGCUGCUGAUUCAGAACCUGCUCAAUCGCAGAUCCAGGGAUUGAAUUGGAUCAACCCCAGCUAUAGGUUUAAGGCAAAUGGAAAG
rnacentral:lncRNA from 1 species